GAGAGAGCCAUCUCAGUGGUGUUACCUUGCCUGUGGAUUUCUCUCCUGGUGCCAACAUUAUUGUGUGUUUUUUGGCAUCAGGCAAAGGGCUUUAAAUUGGUGAUUAGCCAAUUAAUCCUCACAGAACCUGGAGGGAUUCAAGUGUUAUUGAAAUCUGCAAAGUGUUUUUGAAGAUAUCAAAGAAAAUUCAAGUGCAGCAUCCUCAACUAGCCAACAAAAAAGAUGGGUGACUAUUACAAUCAACUUUAAGUUUUAAAGAAAAGAGGAAAUUCAGCGGAUCAUACUUUUAAGUCAAGAGUGAUGGGGUCUGUUGGGACAUGUUUCUACACCAAGUCAGAAGUGUGUGGGAUUCUUAUCCAAGAGAUGCUGUUUGCAGAUGAAGCAUUGCCAAUAGCAUACUCCGAGGAAUCUCUACGGAGACACAUCAAUCUUUGCCCAAGCUUGAUUGGAGUUUGGCCUUACCACCAGUCUCACAAAGACCAGCAUCCUGGGUCUAGACGUCAUCAGCACUCCAUGCGUCAGCACUGGUUACCACAUGUUUGAAGUAAUAGACAAUUUUGUCUUCCUCUCCAUCAAUGCUGAGCUGGACUAGCUUCUUCGCAAGGCAACUACAGCAAUGGCUUGCCUCUCCAAAACGAAUAAUCCGGAUGCUUCCUUCCAAAGAGGAAAGCCAAAUUUACAUUGAACUUGCUUUCUACGUAAAAAGUCCCCCCCCCACCAGCAGUCCCCGAGUCACAACAGAACAUCCACUGCUGAUCAAAGUUUCAUCCACUAUGUCCAAACUACCGUCAAUAUCGCUGGAAGGUUUGGGUUGAACUUUCCUAUUUCAUAGGAAUGUGUAACAAUGUGGGUGGUGGUGAAACAUCAUUGCCAAUCACCACCAGGAUAUUCUGUAUGCUAGACACAGAUAACUCCCAAAGUUAUACUUUGAGCCUAAUGACCUUGGAUUCCUGCAAAAAGGCACUUGUAAGAAAUGGUAUAAAGUGGUGGUGAUGCAUACAGCAUGUAAUUGGAAGUCUCCAAAGCAACCAUACAGAUAGCAGGGGUUAAUAAAGUUUGGGACACUCUGCUUUAUGUGCAAACUUAAGCAAACAAUGAAAUCAAAUUGUUUUACAAAAUAAAUAUGGCACCAAGAUUCUCUGUUUGUUUUCCUGCCUUUAAGAUGCUGAUCAAAUUCCAGUUACAGAUGCCUGUAUUUUUUUCUGACUAGGAUGUAUAUAUGAUAUAUAACUUAUAUAUACUAUAGUUGGGGAGCUAGUUGUCCCAGAAGCAUACUAUAUUAAAGACUGCAGUAGGCGGCUUUCUUUAUUCCUUAGGUGAGCUUUUCGUACUGGUGUGUGAUAUAUAUGUGUUUUCCUUGCUUAUAUUUUGAAUUAUAUUUCAAAAUAAAAAAUGUAUGGGGGAGGCAGGGGAAGAGAAGACACCAAGGGCACACACAAUUUGACUAAAACCCUGCCAUUUUCAAUUUAUUAUUAUUAAUUUGAGGGUCCCAGUUAAGGAAUGGGGCAUUUUUGUGCUUCCUUCAAAAUUCUUCAGAUUCCUUGACUAUGCAGGAGCCUGCAAAUCCACCUCUUUCACUUUAAGUUAAACUAGACUGAAUAGUGGGUCAUAUUUUCAUACCUUCAAUGCUCAAGUGACUCUGCGUCACCCUAACUUACUUCACUGUUGUGAGGGGAAAUGGUCUGAAAGCAGUGAAAUAGAGAAUGUGCUUUUCCCAUUGUCCUUAUUUGUUCAGAGCCACUCAUAUAAUAGUUCUUUAUAGCAGAAACGGUUAGAAGUUCAUCACACUGUUUAACUGGGGUGGUUCAUAUGUUGGCCAAACUAGUAAUUUUCUGGGGCAUGACUCCUCACAACCUCACUAUAUUCACAAAACAGCAUGUGCUAUUUUGUUCAGCUGGAGCUUGAAGGAGAGCCUCUUUAAGGCAGGUCCAUCAAGUUGGCUCAGAAUCAAAUCAGAUCCAACAAAGCAAAGCACAUCAGGACCUGGACAGCUCUGAGUGAGCUUUACUGGCUGAGCUGCAGGAGAUGUUGUCUCAGCAAAGGACCAGAGUCAUCUGAAGAAUUACGGCGGCUAGCAGGACCCCUCUUCCAGUAGUUGAGCUGUAUGCAAUCCCUAAAGGGCCUGCAGCUGACUCCAGCAUGGCUGUGGAUCAGGAGA